UAUACACACCCAAUAAUAUUAUAAUUUUAUUUACAAUCGCUUUUAACUCGUACCCAUAUUAUAGUCUGCGCGCGUAUUAUUCGCGACGAACGUGAAAUGUAACGUAAUAUCCGUUGGUUAUGAAAAACUAUACGCCGCCGUCGGUUUAUAUGAAACGCUGCAAUUACGCCGAGCCGACGACGACGUCAUAAAUUAUACCGUACGAUAUUAAAUUAAAACCUCCGGGUCCGGAAAGUUUGCCGAAAAUUUUAUCACUGUAUUAUACUUAUACCGAUAAUGACGACUGAUAAUACACGCGGUGAUUCUUUUAUCCACGCACGAUCCGGAUAUUUUUCUCGGAGGGCUUGAAGCGAAUAUUCGAUU